rnacentral:lncRNA from 1 species
AGUCACUAAAUGCUGUUUUGAUGUCAGGUAUUGACAGACAAGUCUCUACAUCCUGCUUGUUAGCUAACACCAGAAUGGGAACUCCUUCCAGAGCUUCACUAGUAAUCAUCUUCUCAAAAGCUCUUUUAGAUUCUGAGAGCCUCUCCUCAUCAGUGGAGUCAAUAACAUAGAUGACUCCAUGAGAUUCAGCAUAAUACUUGUCCCACAGAGACUGGAGCUCCUCCUGGCCCCCGAGAUCCCAAAACAUUAGCCGAGUUUUGCCAACAUCAAUAGUACCAAUGUUUAAGCCUACAGUGGUUGUGAUUUUCGACAAACUCAUCCCUUUGUAGUUCUUGUUGAAUCGAGUUUUAGUCUGUUCAAGGAAGGUUGUUUUACCAGCAUUGUCCAAACCAAGGAUCAAGAUGCAGUACUCAUCCCUCUGGAACAUAUACUUGUAGAGUCCGGACAGCAGAGUAUACAUCCUGCUCCCGGUACCGGGAGCGCCCCCCGUCACCCAGCGCCGCCGCCGCGCUCCCUCACGGCACCGGCCGCCAGCGCCGUC